rnacentral:rRNA from 1 species
AUUGAACGCUGGCGGAAUGCUUUACACAUGCAAGUCGAACGAUGAACCUUAGCUUGCUAAGGGGAUUAGUGGCGAACGGGUGAGUAAUGUAUCGGAACGUAUCCAAUAAUGGGGGAUAACUAGUCGAAAGAUUAGCUAAUACCGCAUACGUCCUACGGGAGAAAGCUAGGGACCUUCGGGCCUGGCGUUAAUGGAGCGGCCGAUAUCUGAUUAGCUAGUUGGUGGGGUAAAGGCUCACCAAGGCGACGAUCAGUAGCUGGUCUGAGAGGACGACCAGCCACACUGGAACUGAGACACGGUCCAGACUCCUACGGGAGACAGCAGUGGGGAAUUUUGGACAAUGGGCGAAAGCCUGAUCCAGCCAUUCCGCGUGAGUGAAGAAGGCCUUCGGGUAGUAAAGCUCUUUCGCAAGGGAAGAAAACUUAAGCUCUAACAUAGCUUGAGGUUGACGGUACCUUGAUAAGAAGCACCGGCUAACUACGUGCCAGCCGCCGCCGUAA